CAGCAGCCGCGGUAAUACGAAGGGUGCAAGCGUUACUCGGAAUUACUGGGCGUAAAGCGUGCGUAGGUGGUGGUUUAAGUCCGUUGUGAAAGCCCUGGGCUCAACCUGGGAAUUGCAGUGGAUACUGGGUCACUAGAGUGUGGUAGAGGAUAGUGGAAUUUCCGGUGUAGCAGUGAAAUGCGUGGAGAUCGGAAGGAACAUCUGUGGCGAAGGCGACUAUCUGGGCCAACACUGACACUGAGGCACGAAAGCGUGGGGAGCAAACAGGAUUAGAUACCCCUGUAGUCCCUGUCUCUUAUAC
rnacentral:rRNA from 1 species